CUUAGUCUCCCAGCUGAUAAGAAGUAAAGCUGGGAUCUGAACUCAGGCCAUCUGACUUCAAUACCUAUGCUUCUAACCACUAGGUUAUACUGCCAUUUCGCUGAGCAAGGCAGCUUGUAGUGGAGCUGAUGCCCCUGCGGAUUGAAGGCCCACUCAUUCACACACUCACAGCCACCCCUGCUUGGAGGUGGCAUAGCAGGGAACAAGUUGGAGUUGCCAGAGGCCCCAAGGUCUCCACCCUACCUCUAUCUUGGAGCUUAAAGUAUCUCGCUCCUGGCCUCUUUUAGGAAUGGUAGGGCCAUUAGCCCAAUGAAGGCUUUGCCAUGAGUUUCUCAGACCUUUGCAGGGAUAGCAGGGCCCUAAGGAGACUGAACCAGGGUGGAAAAAUCUGAAUAGGAGUGGAAGAGGAGGGUACAGGGCAGCCCAUUAUUAUCUCUGGUCAUUUAACACUUCUUAAACACCUACUAUGUGCCUGUACAGGGGGCUGGAACUACAGCAAUGGACCAGAGACCUGUCCCUGCAAUUAGAGAGCUCACAGUCUAGAGGGGGAGAGCAACUAGCAAACAGACUACAGAGAGGGAAACUGAGGCCCAGAGAGGUCAAAGGCCUUGCCCAGGAAUACUCAGUGGGUGAGUCACAGAGCUGGGCCCAGAGUCAGUGCUCAGACUCCCAAUCCAGCAUGAUCCCUGCUACAGCAAAAGCAAGCAAAUGCAAACAAGCUCAGAUGAAAGAGGGGUGUUAUGAACUAAGGAGAGGCAUGAGGCAGGCAGGGUUAGGCAGAAGGGCUAUCUUACUGGAGGUGGAGUUCAAAGGAGGGUGCUACAGUCUGAAUGUGUCCCCCAAAAUUCAUGUGUCGAAACGUAAAGCGAAUAUGACAGUAUUAAGAGGCAGGGACUUUCGGAGGUGAGUCAUGAGGGUGGAGCAUUCAUGGAUGGGAUUAGGGCCCUUAUAAAAGGGCUUGAAGGAGUUGGUUUGUUGGCUUCUCCUCUUCUGCCAUGCGAGGACACAGCAUUCCUUCCCUUUUGCUCUUCUGUCCUUUCCACCACCUGAGGACACAAGUGUUCCUCCCUUCCAGAGGAUGCAGCAACAAGGUGCCAUCUUGGAUGCAGAGAGCUGCCCUCAACAGACAACUGAACCUGCCAGCAGCUUGAUCUUGGACUUCCCGGCCUGCAGAACUGUGAGAAAGAGAUUUCCAGUUAUAAGUGACUUAGUCUCAGAGGCUGCCUAAUUCCGGAUGGAUUUGAAAGAGUGUUGGUUUUCAGAUUCUCUGCCCCCACUCGUCAACCUCUCAGUUCAGGACCUCCGGUCCAGAAACAAUCAGUUAAGUGAACUCCUAUUUCUUUUCCUAAGCUCUGCAUUUUGAAAAGCAAUGCCCUACUCUGCUUCUGUUGUAUUUAUUUGGUCUAGAUAUCUCCAAAGGGUAGUAGCAACGCAUAUCAUAUGUUCAGCCUUCUUUUGGUUUGAGGUCUAAUUAUCUUUACAGAAGCCACCAACUUUCUUUUCCUUAUCCCCUGCCCCAAGGAGGUCACACUUGGAUCCACCCAAUAGUAUCCAGUUGACUACGUAGGUUCCAUAGACCCUGGUGGCUGCUCCCCCUUCCUUGUCCCCGCCGUCUCUGCCCAUCAUCCUUUCACCAACUUAACCAAAUGCUAUUGUGCCUUCUAGGGCCUGUUUUUAUCACUCAGCCUCUAUUAGCUUUCCCUGAUCCCACCAGUCCACACUGUGCCCUCUUGUACUAUGAGUUUGUAUUGUACUUACUAAGAAUAACAAACAUAGCUGGGCAUGGUGGCUCAUGCUUGUAAUCCCAGCACUUUGGGAAGCCAAGGCAGGCGGAUUACUUCGGGUCAGGAGCUCAAGACUAGCCUGGCUAACCUGGUGAAACCCUGUCUCUACUAAAAAUAAUAAUAAUAAUAAAAAUAAAUAAAUAAAUAAAAAUACAAAAAAUUACCCAGGCAUGGUGAUGGGUGCAUGUAAUCCCAGCUUCUUGGGAGGGUGAGGCAGGAGAAACAUUUGAACCCAGGAGGUGGAGGUUGCAGUGAGCCGAGAUUGCGCCACUACCUUCCCUCCAGCCUGGGAGACAGAGCAAGACUGUGUCUCGGAAAAAAAAAAAAAAAAAGAAUAUCAAAUUGUACCUAAUUCUUCUUUCUAGUUAGGGGACCUUCUGUAGUACUGUAGAAAGAGUUUGCAUUCUGGAAUUUGAAGACCAGAUUCUAGAUUCACUUAUCUAAUUCACUGUACCCUUAUGGGUCAGUAUUAAGUUGUCCUGCCCCAUGCCCCACUCCCUUCUCCUUGCUUUCACGUGAAUUUAGAACUUUGGGGAUGAUUAGGCAGGUAACAGACUAAUCAGCAUAAAGCCAGUCCACCUGAAACCUCUGCUUAAAACCAGUUCCACCUGUUUGCCUAAAAGUCAAACUAGUAAUUUUAAAAUAAGGCAUUUUGCACCAGUUUUCCUAAGAGGCACUUCCAAUGUAACAUCACUUUUUUUUUUUUUUUUUUUGAGAUGGAGUCUGGCUCUGUCACCCAGGCUGGAGUACAGUGGUGUGAUCUCGGCUCACUGCAACCUUCACAUCCUGUGUUCAAGCAAUUCUCCUGCCUCAACCUCCCGAGUAGCUGGGAUUACAGGCACCUGCCACCAUACCCAGCUAAUUUUUGUAUUUUCAGUAGAGACGGAGUUUCACCAUGUUGGCCAUGCUGGUCUCAAACUCCUGACCUCAAGUGAUCUGCCUGCCUCGGCCUCCCAAAGUGCUGGGAUUACAGGUGUGAGCCACCGCUCCCAGCCGUAACAUUGCAUUUUUAAAUCACUAUCACAACUUGCAGCAUUUUGUCAAUAAUGAGAUUGUUUUGUAUGCUUGUGGGUGACUUUUUCUAUUUUUCUCUCCUAUUGAUCAUUUUUAUGACUUUUUAGGGAGUUUGUUUGAAGACCCUUUCUUUAAAAUUGUAUAUUUCUAGCACUAAAUACUUGUCAAAUCUAUAGGAUUUCCCACGAGAUUUAUCAAAUGAACCCAUUUUGAUCCCUCCUCUCUGCUUCUCACUGAGUUUUGCUCUGUACUGUGUAUUCCUGUGUGCACCUAAUGGGUUUAUUAACCAAAUUAGCAUGUACCCAAUGUUCCCUUCUGUUCUGCAAGAUAUUGGCAUUUUGACAACAAACGUGAAGUGAUGAGACAGAUGGGGCAGAAUUAUAUUGAACUCUUUGCAUUUUAUUUUUCAGGCUAUCUCAUUCAUCAAGCAACUCUA
rnacentral:lncRNA from 1 species